rnacentral:rRNA from 1 species
UACGAAGGGGGCUAGCGUUGCUCGGAAUCACUGGGCGUAAAGCGCACGUAGGCGGACUCUUAAGUCGGUGGUGAAAUCCUGGAGCUCAACUCCAGAACUGCCUUCGAUACUGAGAGUCUUGAGUCCGGGAGAGGUGAGUGGAACUGCGAGUGUAGAGGUGAAAUUCGUAGAUAUUCGCAAGAACACCAGUGACGAAGGCGGCUCACUGGCCCGGUACUGACGCUGAGGUGCGAAAGCGUGGGGAGCGAACAGG